GAGAGUUAAACAGUACGUGAAAUUGUUGAAAGGGAAACGAUUGAAGCCAGUCGUACCUUCGGGUAAUCAGCCUUUUGGGUGUGAUUUUGUGGAGCGUGAAGAGUUAAACGCCUUCAUGCCUGCAUAUUCGUGCACUUUGGGUGUACUUGCCCGUAUGGUUGGUUAACAUCAAUUUUGGUGGUCAUAAAAUGACUGGAGGAAUGUAGCUUCGAUCUCGUAUUGAAGUGUUAUAGCCUUCGGUAGAUGUGAUGAUCGAGAUUGAGGAUUGCAACGGAUACCCUUCGGGGCUACCUGUCUGAUCUCUGAUCGUUGCUCUGGUGCCGAAAGCUUGCUUACGGUUAUCAAAGUCGAUGGUCAAUAGGUUAGAACGGGUUAAAUUCGUUAAGGAUGUUGACGUAAUGGCUUUAAACGA
rnacentral:rRNA from 1 species